rnacentral:tRNA from 1 species
GUGAAGGUGGCUCAGUGGUAGAGUGCUUGCCUCGCAUGCAUGAGGCCUGGGUUUGACUCCUUAGCACCACA